rnacentral:rRNA from 1 species
CGGACGGGUGAGUAAUGCCUAGGAAUCUGCCUGGUAGUGGGGGACAACGUUUCGAAAGGAACGCUAAUACCGCAUACGUCCUACGGGAGAAAGCAGGGGACCUUCGGGCCUUGCGCUAUCAGAUGAGCCUAGGUCGGAUUAGCUAGUUGGUGAGGUAAUGGCUCACCAAGGCGACGAUCCGUAACUGGUCUGAGAGGAUGAUCAGUCACACUGGAACUGAGACACGGUCCAGACUCCUACGGGAGGCAGCAGCC